GCUUCAGUGGUUCAGUGGUAGAAUUCUCGCCUUCCACGCAAGAGACUCGAGUUUGAUUCCCGGCCAAUGCA
rnacentral:tRNA from 1 species